UAGCAUUGGGGCUGUGGUUUGAAACAAGCUAUCUCAAAAGAGGGAGAGAGACAGAGGGAGCAGGCAAGACUUGAGGCUGCCCUGGAAUGUGACGAGUGUGAUUGCUUCAACUCUUUGCCCCCGAGAGGCAACUGGACUCAUCCUCACCACAUGAAAGCAUCUGCCAUUCUUCCGUCAGUCUGCGGCAGGACACUGCGGUUGUGGCUACCUUGACAAUUAAGCCUGCUUGGAGCUUUCUAAUGGAGGCUUCAGAGUGUGCCAUCUGUUAUUCAUCACCUAAACUUGUGGUUGUUUUCCUGAAAGGCCAAAGAUGGCCAAUUUAUCCUGAAACUGAAAAUCAAUAUGCCUCUAACCUUAUGUGGCCCAGAUUUUAGGAAUAACAUCCAGGCUCCAUUCGGAAA